UACAGAGGUCUCAAGCGUUGUUCGGAUUCAUUGGGCGUAAAGGGUGCGUAGGCGGCGCGGUAAGUCGGGUGUGAAAUCCCGGGGCUUAACUCCGAAACUGCAUUCGAUACUGCCGUGCUUGAGGACUGGAGAGGAGACUGGAAUUUACGGUGUAGCGGUGAAAUGCGUAGAUAUCGUAAGGAAGACCAGUGGCGAAGGCGGGUCUCUGGACAGUUCCUGACGCUGAGGCACGAAGGUCAGGGGAGCAAACGGG
rnacentral:rRNA from 1 species